rnacentral:rRNA from 1 species
GUCUUUAUGAAAAUAAUUUAAAGUCUAAUCUGCCCACUGAAUAAUUAAUUUAAAGGGCUGCAGUAUAUUGACUGUACAAAGGUAGCAUAAUCAAUAGUCUUUUAAUUGAAGACUUGUAUGAAUGAUUUAAUGAAAUAUAAACUGUCUCUUUAUUAAAAUUAGAAUUUAAUUUUUUAGUUAAAAAGCUAAAAUUAUUAUAAAAGACGAGAAGACCCUAUAGAGUUUUAUAUUUUUAUAUUAAUAUUAAAUAUUAUAUAAUUUAUAAAUUAUUUAUAUAAAAAUAUUUUAUUGGGGUGAUAGAAAAAUAAAAAGAACUUUUUUUAAAAAAUUAACAUUAAUUUAUGAUUAAAUGAUCCAUAAUUUAUGAUUAUAAGAUUAAAUUACCUUAGGGAUAACAGCGUAAUUUUUUUUUUUAGUUCAAAUAAAAAUAAAAGUUUGCGACCUCGAUGUUGGAUUAAGAUAAAAUUUAAAUGCAAAAGUUUAAAAUUUUGAUCUGUUCGAUCAUUAAAAUCUUACA